rnacentral:lncRNA from 1 species
CCGUCUGGUCUGGGUUGACACUACUGCAAUUAGCGGUUUAAGGUCCUGGGUUCGAUUCCUGGGGAGACCCCCAAAUUAGUCGGGAGUGCGAGAUUAUGGCUAGCUGCUGAGAUGUGGAGUUGAGGUCACAGUUGAUGGACCAGAUUCGCACGCUGGAUUGGUAGCGAUUGCCGAACCCUCCGUCUCUUCGGGUGUUCGGGUGAAUGGAUGAGGAGGGGUCCCUGAAGGCUGGAUCCGCCGCCUUGGACUUACAGUUCGUAUGGCGAAGUACAGUGUGGUAGUGGUGGAUGGUGCUAUAAGGUGAUAAAUGAUCUAGAACUGACAAUGUGAUAAAGCGGCCCAGAAGCCUCCCACUCUGUAACAUUACAUUACAUUACAUUACAUUACAUUAUAUGCGAUCUGCAAGCAUAUGCCAUAUGCCAUCUGCAAGCAUAUGCGAUCUGCAAGCAUAUGCCAGUGGUAUAACGGGUUUCAGCCCCCGAGAACUUCUUACUAGUAAAAGCAAUUGGUCUCCCGUUUUGCAGCAGUACUGCUCCCGUACCAUGCAAGGACGCAUCAGUUACGACCUCCACACGGAAAGGUUGGGAGUAGUCCGGGAAACGCAGAAUGAUGUCUUCAGAGACAACACGCUUAAGUGUAUCGAACGCUUGCUGGCAGUCAGGACCCCAGCAGUCAGGAGAUACAAAAGCCCCUUUACGUGUCAGAUUUGUCAGAGGUGCGGCAAUAAUGGCAUANNNNNNNNNNNNNNNNNNNNNNNNNNNNNNNNNNNNNNNNNNNNNNNNNNACUAUGUUGUCAAAGAACAGACGUGCAGUUUGCUCAGCUGUGCAGGAUGAUACCGUAGGUGCCAGGUGCACCAUUUUCGUGAGUCGGUCUACCAUGACCAAAACGGCAUCGAAUCCCCCCUCAGUUUUGGGCAAAGCUACAAUAAAGUCCAUGGUAACACUUUCCCAAGGGGCGGCCGGCACAGGCAAGGGACACAGGAGGCCGUGGGGCUUACCAGACAGGACUUUAUUGCGUUGGCACAGCUCACAGUUCUGGACAUAGUUCUCGGCGUCCUUAGCCAUCCGAGGCCACCAGAAUUGACGACGGAGAACCUCGACCAGACGGGUGCAGCCAGGGUGCCCAGCCAGCGGGUCGUCAUGAAAACGUGACAGGAGAUCAUGACGCAGCAAGUCAUCAUUCGGAACGACAACCUGCCGAAAAGUACCCUCAGUGCGGAUCCAAAGGCCACUGUUACGGGUUAAAUGGCCAGUAUUGUGGUUAUCGGAAAACCAGGGAUCCGUGGCAUAGGCAGCUCGAAGUCGUUGCACAAGUUCAGAGGGCACAACGGGUGCUGCAGCACGGUUGCGUGUAACGACUGACAGAAUGGCUGCAUGCAGACAAGGGUGCCGACUUAAGGCAUCAGCAACGUUAAGGAUGCCUUGCAGGUAUUCCCAUGUAAAGUCAAACCGGCUAAGGUAUUCCAUCCACUGGGCUUGACGACGGUUAAGGGUAGGCACGCCUUGCAGAAACGUUAGGGGUUUGUGGUCGGUUUUGAGGGUGAACGGCCGACCCUCCAGAUAACACCGCCACUCCUUAAGCGCGUGCAGUACAGCAAGAAAGCAUAUGCGAUCUGCAAGCAUAUGCCAUAUGCGAUCUGCAAGCAUAUGCCAUAUGCGAUCUGGGUUGACACUACUGCAAUUAGCGGUUUAAGGUCUGGUCUGGGUUGACAAUUAGCGGUUUAAGGUCUGGUCUGGGUUGACACUACUGCAAUUAGCGGUUUAAGGUCCUGGGUUCGAUUCCUGGGGAGACCCCCAAAUUAGUCGGGAGUGCGAGAUUAUGGCUAGCUGCUGAGAUGUGGAGUUGAGGUCACAGUUGAUGGACCAGAUUCGCACGCUGGAUUGGUAGCGAUUGCCGAACCCUCCGUCUCUUCGGGUGUUCGGGUGAAUGGAUGAGGAGGGGUCCCUGAAGGCUGGAUCCGCCGCCUUGGACUUACAGUUCGUAUGGCGAAGUACAGUGUGGUAGUGGUGGAUGGUGCUAUAAGGUGAUAAAUGAUCUAGAACUGACAAUGUGAUAAAGCGGCCCAGAAGCCUCCCACUCUGUAACAUUACAUUACAUUACAUUACAUUACAUUAUAUGCGAUCUGCAAGCAUAUGCCAUAUGCCAUCUGCAAGCAUAUGCGAU